rnacentral:rRNA from 1 species
UACUCCUACGGGAGGCCGCCGUAGGGAAUUUUCCGCCAUGGGCGAAAGUCUGACGGAGCAACGCCGCCUGAGUGAAGAAGGUUUUCGGAUUGUAAAACUUUGUUGUUAGGGAAGAACAAGUACCGUUCUAAUAGGGCGGUACCUUGACGGUACCUAACCAGAAAGCCCCGGCUAAUUACUGGCCACCAGCCCCGGUAUUA